CGGUCCUCCUGUCAAUCAGAGCCCUUCCAUUGUCUGAACGCGGAAGCUGGACCACGAGCCCUGGAACGAAGAGCGAGCCUCACCCCGGAGUGCAACGUCCUUCCACUGAAGUAUUUGCAGAUCUCA